CUUAGCUCCUGAUCCGAGCACGGGAAAAACGCACUAAAAAGGUGUGUUGAACACCCCAAAGUGGACAUCUCCGCAGUACCGGAGCAGAGCAAAACCCUAGCAUCAGAAAGACACCCAAUAACCACCAACAGCAAGAUGGAAGGUGGGUGCUGAUGUCUCCGGCCUACACACAAUAUGGAGCCUCAAGCGACAACUGAGCAGGGCGGUCAGCGCG